AUGCCGGUGGCGAGGAGGGUGCUCAACGCCUUCGCCGACGACAUGCCGGAGUUCGACCGCCGCCAGAUGGGCUGCAUGGCCGGCAUAUUCCAGAUCUUCGACCGCCAGCGGAUGCUCACCGCGCGCCGCGCCGGCGCCGGCGGGCGACAGCCGCAGCAGAAGAGACUGCCCGCAGGCCGUACUCCACCAGAAAGCAGCAGCAAUGUUCCAGUGCAGUGCUCGAGUACCCCCAAAAUCAUUCUGGAGAAAACACUCAGCAAAAGCAUGACCGAGAACAGUAGCCUUUCGAUAGAGUCAUCAAGAGCUUCUUGUUCUUCCUCUUCAUGCUCAUCCUUCUCGUCGAUCGACGGCAGCAAAUCAGCCCAACAGGAGCUACCGUACAUCAGCGAAGAACUCUUUCCGCAGAGGUCACCGAAGAGCUCACCAAGUCUGAAGGGCGCUGACAUGGACACCAAGACCGCACAGCCGAACGUCGGUUUCAGAGACAUCGUCAAGGACUCCAUCAACCGGGACUCGGGAGGGUUAACUGUCAUGACCACGGCGAAUGGAGCAAGAAGGAACGCGCAGUACAAGGACUCGCCAAGGCCAUUGCUGCUCUCCAAAUCGAUGGACGGAACCUACGUCAUCAGCAUCGACAGGACCACCAAGGCCGUCCCCGCAAACGUCGUCGAGUCCAGCAGGCGUUUCCCGGAGCAGUCGCGCUUCUCAUGCGACGACCGGCGGCUCCUGCGACCGGCUGAAACCCAAGAAGCCAAGAAGCCUCCUUCCACAAGGGCCAAAGAGCUUCCUAGGCUGUCCUUGGACAGCAGGAAAGAGUCUCUGAGCCCAAGUUCACGUCUGAAGAGCUACAGUUACAGGAGAACCGAUGACUCUCUCCUAGACGCUCUGAAGCCUCAAGACUCCCCAGGCCACAGGCGUUCCAACAGUGUCAUCGCCAAGCUCAUGGGGUUGGAAGAAGCACCAGAUGCUAUGGGGAUGCUGAUCGCUGAUAGCUACGAGCCUGCAAGAUCACCAAGAACAGCAGCACAAGCCACACGGAGCGAGCGUCCAUCGCGUUCGCCCAGGAGAGAUUGCCAGGAUGCGUGUGGUUCGCUGCCGAAAAACGAGCCUUCAGCACUGAAAACAAGACCUCCUCCAAGAAUUCUCACUGAAGCUGCUCCCUGGAGGCAGCAGGAGAGAGGCGGCAGCGCCACCAACAGCAAGGCUUCACAAUGCCGAGACGCUGAGGUGAGGCCAAGAACCGCAUCUCUCUAUGCCGAUAUAGAAAGAAGGCUUGGUGGGCUCGAGUUCUCCGAGUGCAACAAAGACUUCAGAGCUCUCAGAAUUCUGGGUGCAUUGCAUGCAAAGGAUGCUAAGCACCAGAACAACGAUGGUGAUGCCGCAUCAGUGGCCUCUCAGAGCCAAGAAGAGGAUUCAGCCACCACCAGUUCCAGAAGCUUCCAGUCUCCCAUUGUAGUCAUGAAGCCAGCAAGAACCACCGAGAAGCCUGGGGUUGCUCCCCUUGCAGGGCUGAGAGGCCUCAGGAAGCUGCAGCCCAGAGAUUCAUCCUUCACUGACAAGAGCGAAGCCAGCACAAAUGAGAAGAUCCAUUCUCGCGUUGCAAGGGCUCAAUCCAAGUCCGACGAACCUACCAGCAGAGCGAGCUCGCCGAGACCUGCAGGGUCAUCAAGCCCCAGGUUAGUGCAGAGGAAGGCAGAGUCGGAGAGGCGGUCUCGUCCCCCGGUCUCACCAAAGUCUCCAAGCAAGAAGGCAAAUGAAGCAGCAUCCCCAAGAGGAAGAACAAGAUCAAAGCCUUCUCAAGUGAAGAGCAACCGUGACAAUGAGGUAUCGCAGAGUCCAGGAAGAAGGAUCAGCUUGGCGAAGCAGAUUGACGUCAGUAUAAUGGAUUGUCAAAAUCCUCUGGCUGCUAGAUCAUCGUUCAUUGACCCAAAAACGCCGAGCCAAAAGAGCCCUUCUUCAAUCCUGGGUUCAGAUCACAAGAUCCAUUCACUGGAGAACGCCCUGAGCCCCGUGUCGGUCCUCGACACAUCCUUCUACCAUAAAAGUAUCUCAGAUUCAUUUAAAGAUGGCGAGACGCAUACUUCAGACGAAUGCUGGAAUUCAAACAGCCUGCCGGACACGCCGCAGUCGAAGACGAGCAGUGAAGCCAGCCAGAUCAAACCAGAAAACCUGGAGGCGCUCAUUCAGAAACUUGAACAAUUGCAAUCGAUGAACGAUGAAGCUGCAAACUCCAAAGAUCACCAGUAUAUCUACGAGAUACUCUUAGCAUCUGGUCUUCUGCACAAGGAACUUAGCUUCGCAGCGAUGCCUGCACAACUUUCGCCAUCCAGUUGCCCGAUCAAUCCAGAGCUCUUCCUCAUUCUAGAGCAAACAAAGCCGCACUUCAUUUCAGCGACUCAAGCUGUUACCGGAGCCAAGAAGAGUUCUGACCCUAACAUGGAGAAGCUUCAUCGCAGAAUUGUGUUCGAUCUGGUAAAUGAAAUUAUAGCUCAGAAGAUGAACAUGUAUAGCUCUGCAAGUGGAACGGCGAAACUUCUUCGAUCAAGGAAGUUAAGUGGGUGGCGUCUAUUCAAGGAGUUGUGCACAGAGGUCGACAGGCUCUUAUCCGAGAGUUCGGCAGCGAAAUGCUCCGAAGAGGAUGAGGAUGAAAACAUACCGUUAUCUGAGGAUGCAUUGUAUGAGAUGAAAGAUUGGGGUAGCCCUGAAGGUGAGCUACAAGGCAUGGUUUUGGACAUUGAAAGAUCCAUCUUCCGGGACCUCAUUGACGAGGUCAUAGGUGGCGAGGCUACAGAGAGGAUGCAAGCUGGACAAUGGAAAUUGCGUAGGCAGCUGUCUUUCAGUAGUAUAAACUGA
rnacentral:rRNA from 1 species